rnacentral:lncRNA from 1 species
UAUCUUACUGCUUGAUGAGGUUAAAUUACACAUGGGAGAGCAAUAACAACAAUCCUUCCCUCCCUCACAGUUCAUAAGUUCAGAGUGCACUUGUUGAAUUGGGCUUCGAAUUGCAAAUCAAAAUUUCAAUUUUGUUAUUUGAGAAUUACAAUUUGAAUUUAGUAUUAAUUAGAAUUUACGGCUACUUGUACUAAAUUUAAAAGAAAUUAUCAAGAACAAAAUAUUUU